UACGGGGGGGGCAAGCGUUGUUCGGAAUUACUGGGCGUAAAGGGCUCGUAGGUGGCCAACUAAGUCAGACGUGAAAUCCCUCGGCUUAACCGGGGAACUGCGUCUGAUACUGGAUGGCUUGAGUUCGGGAGAGGGAUGCGGAAUUCCAGGUGUAGCGGUGAAAUGCGUAGAUAUCUGGAGGAACACCUAUGGCGAAGGCAGCUCUCUGGGACGGUACUGACGCUGAGACGCGAAAGCGUGGGGAGCGAACAGG
rnacentral:rRNA from 1 species